rnacentral:lncRNA from 1 species
AUGUUCCGGAUCAAGGCAGGGAUGGGAAUGAGAAGUAGCAGCUGUUCUAAGGGCAAAGACGAUGAAAAUCCAAACAAUUCUAUGCAAACGAGCAGCCUCCUGUGUCUGCAGCAGAGAGAGGGGAUCCAGGGACACAAAAGCAAAAAUCCAGUUUGCAAGGCCCUCCCAGGUGGAAUGCAAGGAGCCUGGAAUCAGGCACACCAGGCUGUAGAUCCCAUCUCCUCAGUUCACUAGGUGCGGGAUCAUUGGGUUUUUCAGUUGUAUUUCUUCUUCUGCCUUUCACACUGAGGCAAAUGUAAAAGUUAAGGAAAACCCACCAGAAACGAUGUCUGGCUCUGUCUUGGGAAACACGGUGAACUCGCAAAGUUAAGAGUUACUGCGGAACAUAUAAGGUGAACCUUUCAUUUCUUUAAAAGUUGUGAUGUUAUCACCUCCAAUAUGUAUAGUGAGCU